rnacentral:rRNA from 1 species
GUGGGGAAUUUUGGACAAUGGGCGCAAGCCUGAUCCAGCCAUGCCGCGUGAGUGAUGAAGGCCCUAGGGUUGUAAAGCUCUUUCAGUGGGGACGAUAAUGACGGUACCCACAGAAGAAGCCCCGGCUAACUUCGUGCCAGCAGCCGCGGUAAUACGAAGGGGGCUAGCGUUGUUCGGAUUUACUGGGCGUAAAGCGCACGUAGGCGGAUCGUUAAGUCGGGGGUGAAAUCCUGGAGCUCAACUCCAGAACUGCCUUCGAUACUGGCGAUCUUGAGUCCGGAAGAGGUGAGUGGAACUCCUAGUGUAGAGGUGGGAUUCGUAGAUAUUAGGAAGAACACCAGUGGCGAAGGCGGCUCACUGGUCCGGUACUGACGCUGAGGUGCGAAAGCGUGGGGAGCAAACAGGAUUAGAAACCCUGGUAGUCC